UUCGCAUGCUAUACGCGUUAAUACAAUUUAUUUGUAACUGCUUCUAUUUAUCGCACGUUCAAAUGAUGAUAAUAUUAUCUUAAAAAGUAUCAGAAUCUUUUACAUUCUAUUUAUUUCCGUAGAAAGUGCAUGUACUUUAUUCAAAGUGUGUUAGCCCUUGAACGCAAACUUGAAAGAUACUUAUAAUUGACAGACAUAUGAAUAAUGUGUUUAUUAAAGUGUUUCUUACAGUCUGGUGUAAAAAUAACCCAAUGUACUUCUAGUGUUGAAUGUAAAUCAUCUUACACAAAAAUGUUACCACCGACGUAUGUCGAAGGUUUUCACGAUUUGGAAGCUGUUGAAACUAUGGAAUAUAGACCUCUUGGCAAAACUGGAUUAAUGGUCAGCAAAUUAUCACUUGGUGGCGGACCAUUUGGUUGCCACUAUGGUACAUAUGACGAAAAUGAAGCAAUUAACGCGAUACGUCAAGGAAUACGACAAGGAAUUAAUUAUAUUGAUACCGCGCCAUGGUAUGGCCAAGGUCGAUCCGAAACUAUCAUUGGAAAAGCUUUGAAAGGCAUUCCACGUAAAGCAUAUUAUAUCGCGACAAAAGUCGGACGAUAUGAAUUAAAUUACGAAAAUAUGUUUAAUUUUUCCAAAGAGAAAACUAGAAAUAGUUUUCUCAAUAGUUUAGAACUUUUAGGUUUGGAUUAUGUUGACAUCAUACAAGUUCACGACAUCGAAUUUGCUCCAAGUUUGGAUAUAGUAAUCACGCAAACACUACCAGAACUAUCAAGGCAAAUUGCGGAUGGCAAUGCAAAAUACAUUGGUAUCACCGGAUAUCCGGUAUCCAUUUUAAAGGAAUGUAUCGAGAAAAGUAAUAUUAAAAUUUCUUGCAUACUAAGCUAUGCAAGACAUACAUUAAUAGAUAACACUUUAUCUGAAUAUAUACCAUUUUUUAAGGAACAUAAUAUUGGUAUAAUUAAUGCUUCUGCGCAGUGUAUGGGACUUUUAACUAAUAAAGGUCCACCAGCUUGGCAUCCCAGUUCAGAACAAACAAAGAAAAUAUGUACAAAUGCUGCUGUGUGUUGUAAGGAUUAUGAUGUAGAAUUAGCUAAAUUAGCACUAUGGUAUUCUACACAAUGUAAAGAUAUUGCCACGUAUUUAGUUGGAAUGCAAAAUUUGAAAGAAUUACAUAUGAAUCUCGAUGUUGUCAAAAAUGGUAUCACUGACAAGGAGAAGAAUAUACUUCAAGAAAUUCAAGAAAAUUCCCGUUAUCAAAGACUUUUAAAGUGAUCUGAUAUAGGAUAACAUCCUAUCUACUACAUUUUUAUGAUACAUAAGUUUCUAGGCUUUCCUAUUAUACUCCAAGUUAAUAUGAAUUUGAUAUUUAUCUAAAGUAACAGAAAACAAUUGGGAAGGCAAAGAACUUCAGGCAUACUGGAAACAAAUAAAAAAGUGAGAAAAAUAUAUUUUUUUACAUAUAACGUUAUUACACUGUUAAUAUCAUAUUCAGUAACACGUUAAAUGCCAAUGUAUAUAAUGCAUUUUUUACUAAAAUUAUAUUUUCAGUAUCUAACUUUACAAUGUAAAUAUUUUAAUAGAAUAAACUAUAAAUGCAAUCAUUAGAUAU